UAAUACGGAGGUUGCAAGCGUUGUUCGGAAUAACUGGGCGUAAAGGGAGCGCAGGCGGUCUCGUAAGUCUAAAGUGAAAUGCCAGGGCUCAACCUUGGACGUGCUUUGGAUACUGCAAGACUUGAGUACGUGAGAGGAGAGUGGAAUUCCAGGUGUAGCGGUGAAAUGCGUAGAUAUCUGGAGGAACACCGGUGGCGAAAGCGGCUCUCUGGCACGUUACUGACGCUGAGGCUCGAAAGCGUGGGGAGCGAACGGG
rnacentral:rRNA from 1 species